UUCCAGCUCAGGCAGGAGAGCUGAGCAGUGUUAAAGCCCUGGCAAACAUCACUGAAGAUCAAGUGGAGACUCUGAGAAGAGAAGGAGAAGCUAAGACGGAAGAACUGGAGGUGCAGAAGGAAGAAUUGGACAAGCUGAAAGAACAACACCAAGCUCAUGCAGAGGAACUGCUCAGAGUUCAAACCAGGGCAAACAGAACUGAAAACCAGGUGGAGGCU